UAAUUCGACUUGCUCUGGGUCUCAAAGCC
rnacentral:piRNA from 1 species